AUUGAACGCUGGCGGCAGGCCUUACACAUGCAAGUCGAACGAGUGGCGGACGGGUGAGUAAUCUCUCGUAAACUGCCUGCUGUAGGGGGAUAACUACUGGACACGGUCGCUAAUACCGCAUACCAUCAGAUCUGCCCAGAUGGGAUUAGCUAGUUGGUGGGGGAACGGCUCACCAAGGCGACGAUCACUAGCUGGUUUGAGAGGAUGACCAGCCACACUGGAACUGAGACACGGUCCAGACUCCUACGGGAGGAAGCAGUGGGGAAUAUUGGACAAUGGGGGAAAGCCUGAUGCAGCCAUGCCGCGUGUAUGAAGAAGGCCUUCGGGGUGUAAAGUACUUUCAGCGGGGAGGCGUUACCCGCAGAAGAAGCACCGGCUAACUCCGUGCCAGCAGCCGCGGUAAUAC
rnacentral:rRNA from 1 species